rnacentral:rRNA from 1 species
AACGAACGCUGGCGGCAGGCCUAACACAUGCAAGUCGAGCGAAGCCUUCGGGCUUAGCGGCGGACGGGUGAGUAACGCGUGGGAACGUGCCCUUUGGUACGGAAUAGCCCCGGGAAACUGAGAGUAAUACCGUAUGUGCCCUUCGGGGGAAAGAUUUAUCGGCAAAGGAUCGGCCCGCGUUGGAUUAGGUAGUUGGUGGGGUAAUGGCCUACCAAGCCGACGAUCCAUAGCUGGUUUGAGAGGAUGAUCAGCCACACUGGGACUGAGACACGGCCCAGACUCCUACGGGAGGCAGCAGUGGGGAAUCUUAGACAAUGGGCGCAAGCCUGAUCUAGCCAUGCCGCGUGAGCGAUGAAGGCCUUAGGGUUGUAAAGCUCUUUCGUGGGGGAAGAUAAUGACUGUACCCACAGAAGAAGCCCCGGCUAACUCCGUGCCAGCCGCCGCGGUAAAAC